rfam:Xiphophorus maculatus strain JP 163 A Contig452.16, whole genome shotgun sequence.
CUAGCUGCUGAUUGUCCAAACGCAAUUCUUGUAAAAUUCAAAAAUCCAAGCCGAGAAUUGUGCCUGGACAUCUGUUGCUGG